rnacentral:misc_RNA from 1 species
ACCUAGCCCAGAUUGCAGCAUUUGUCUGAGCUCAUUUACUAAGUUUCGGCUGCGGCGGCUUUGCCGCCGCAGCCGAAACUUAGUAAAUAGCGAGUGCGGAAAGCUGGAAACAGC